AACGCUGACAUGGCCGAUGCGGGUCAAGAUGUUGUAGUGUCUGCUCUUAUCAGCUUAAUAUCUGAUACGGGUUGUAUUCGGAUCUAAAAUAUUAAACCUAUUUUUGGAAGUUGGCGGAAUGCUUAAAGCCUGCUUCACCUCCGCCGCGGGUCGGCCCGGUAUUGCACUAUCUUCGGCAUCGGCCCACGUACG